AUCUACAGCCAUGCUAACCCUGAACAAGCCCAAUCUUGUCCGAUCUCAGAAGCUAAGCAGGGUCGGGCCUGGUUAGUACUUGGAUGGGAGACCACCUAGGAAGACCAGGUGCUAUAGGCA
rfam:Pteropus alecto contig41880, whole genome shotgun sequence.